GUCUGGCUCCUUCCUGAAUCACCAUAGUCCAAAGCCGCCGCACCCCUCCCUCCUUCCUCCUCGUCGCCACUCACCGUAGCCGCCGCACCUGUUUUUCUCUUCCUCUUCCCUCCAUCGUCACCACAGCCACCGGUCCGCUCCCUCCUCCUUCAUCCCCCUUCUCUCGUCAGCAACCACCGCACGAACCUCCUGAGUCGGGGCGGGUGCAGAAGGCCGUUGCGAGUAUGUAUGGGGCCGCAUCCGUCCUCCCUCCCUCGUCGGCCACCACUAAGGCUUAUUCCUCUCCUGUCCUGGCCUCGUCUCCUGCGACUGGUGGUGGAGAGCCAUGGGUGAUGGAGAGGAGGAAGGGAGGUAAGGGAAUAACAGGGGAGGGAAUUUACAGGAGCUUCACUCCCAAAUUUUGUGCCCCGAGCCAUGGAUGGCUGAGAGAAGGAAGUGGCCUACGCUCUCUUCUCAAGCCUGUGGCAAUGGUGCUUCUCCGCUGGAUGGGUACAGCUGGUUGAUGUUCGCCCCAACCCCUUUUGCCAUUGCUCUCUACAGUUUCGUUUCUUACGGCCGUCUAAUAUCGAGUUCUUGGCUUUGUUUCCUACGUGUGCGGGUUAAUUUUGUUGCCGUUCUUUCCUUCAUACAUCGUCGCAACAUUCUCCCUUUUGCAUUGGAGGUUAGAUCUCACUCCUUGUGCUUGCCUAUAAGAUGUUUGAUGAAAUGCCUUUGUGUAGACCAUGUUGGUUUUUUGGUUUCAGUCUGUUUUUCCUGAUGUCCACUUUGGUAUCCUCGUUUAUCUUGCCUGCCUUGCUCGUGUGCUUCUCCUUAUCAGCUCAGGUUCUACGAUAUACUGUGUUGCUGCAUCUUUGUUCUGCUUGCGGAAGUUCGCUCACUUUUCUAGCUAGAUGCUGCAUUUUAGUUUCUCUACGUAUCGGCAUGUUGUUUGGUCCGCUGAUGGUAUUGAUAAUCUGAGUUUGGGUGGGCGUCGUGUUAUGUUUGGCCUCAUGUUUGUCGCCUAGGUUUCUGUUUACCAUGGUUACCCUUUGUUCCAUGGGGUCUAGGAUCGUCGUGUUUUUUUAUGGGCGUAGCUAAAUCUGAAGUUGUUUUCGUAUUCAGAAUAAUAGAAAUAAUUUUUGUAGAGAAACACAAGUGUGCAGGCUGCCAAUUUAGUGCUCGUGUACAACCACUCUUGAUUUUUAGUUAAUUGGUUAACUCAGAAACUAUAAAAGAAUUCCUCUUUGCUUAUGGGUUCCCACUUUUUCCAAGGGAGUUAUUUUCUACUAAAUACAGAUGGGAACACCACACUAAUGUCAGCUUGCUUUAUUUGAUGGUCUAACACCAGUAGUAAAUUUCCUGUUACUUGAACUAAAAAGAUAACAGUUCAGCAUAAUGUGAAAAAGCAGCUAGCUAGGGAUCUUUUGGUUUGAAAGAGCCGUACAUCUAUUCAUUCAGUAGAUAUACUGUCAAGAUUUUGAUGAUGUUCUGUAUUGCUGUCAUGAGUAUAAUAGCAACAAAAAAAGCAAUGUGGUGGUAUCUUGCAGUGGGAUAUAUUUACCUUUUCUGAACAGAUACCAAACAUGACUGCACUUAAUUUCUCCUUCAGGAAAGACGUUGUGGAUGAUGAGAUUAUGAAUGCAAUUUCUGUCAACAUUGAAGAGGUGGCAGGUAGGCAAGUCUACAGGCAUGUGAUUAGAGAUGCACCUCGGAAAGAUCAGGGCGUAUUCCUAGAUUGGCAAUUAUGCUAGGAUGGUACGUGAGACAGUGGGAUGCAUCAGCUUUAUAACAUUCCAGUAAUUACUAUGUAUUUCCACCCCUUUUGUUUCUAGCUGAUACAUAACUUUUGGUACAUGAAUUAAUCCGGCUUCUUUGUCCGAUGCUCUAAAGAUCUGUGUGCACUGCUGCUCGCUCAGUUAUUUUUGAUACUUUCUUGUUUGUACCAAUAUCAUGUUAACUGAAAACUCGCAGUAUAUACUC